CGAACGAUGAAGCUCUAGCUUGCUAGAGUGGAUUAGUGGCGCACGGGUGAGUAAUGCAUAGAUAACAUGCCCUUUAGUCUAGGAUAGCCAUUGGAAACGAUGAUUAAUACUGGAUACUCCUUACGAGGGAAAGUUUUUCGCUAAAGGAUUGGUCUAUGUCCUAUCAGCUUGUUGGUGAGGUAAUGGCUCACCAAGGCUAUGACGGGUAUCCGGCCUAAGAGGGUGAACGGACACACUGGAACUGAGACACGGUCCAGACUCCUACGGGAGGCAGCAGUAGGGAAUAUUGCUCAAUGGGGGAAACCCUGAAGCAGCAACGCCGCGUGGAGGAUGAAGGUUUUCGGAUUGUAAACUCCUUUUGUUAGAGAAGAUAAUGACGGUAUCUAACGAAUAAGCACCGGCUAACUCCGUGCCAGCAGCCGCGGUAAUACGGAGGGUGCAAGCGUUACUCGGAAUCACUGGGCGUAAAGAGCGCGUAGGCGGGAUAGCAAGUCAGAUGUGAAAUCCUAUGGCUUAACCAUAGAACUGCAUUUGAAACUGUUAUUCUAGAGUAUGGGAGAGGUAGGUGGAAUUCUUGGUGUAGGGGUAAAAUCCGUAGAGAUCAAGAGGAAUACUCAUUGCGAAGGCGACCUGCUAGAACAUAACUGACGCUGAUGCGCGAAAGCGUGGGGAGCAAACAGGAUUAGAUACCCUGGUAGUCCACGCCCUAAACGAUGAAUGCUAGUUGUUGUGGAGCUUGUCUCUGCAGUAAUGCAGCUAACGCAUUAAGCAUUCCGCCUGGGGAGUACGGUCGCAAGAUUAAAACUCAAAGGAAUAGACGGGGACCCGCACAAGCGGUGGAGCAUGUGGUUUAAUUCGAAGAUACACGAAGAACCUUACCUAGGCUUGACAUUGAUAGAAUCCGCUAGAGAUAGUGGAGUGCUAGCUUGCUAGAACUUGAAAACAGGUGCUGCACGGCUGUCGUCAGCUCGUGUCGUGAGAUGUUGGGUUAAGUCCCGCAACGAGCGCAACCCUCGUCCUUAGUUGCUAACUAUUCGGUAGAGCACUCUAAGGAGACUGCCUUCGCAAGGAGGAGGAAGGUGAGGAUGACGUCAAGUCAUCAUGGCCCUUACGCCUAGGGCUACACACGUGCUACAAUGGGAAGCACAAAGAGAUGCAAUAUUGUGAAAUGGAGCAAAUCUAUAAAACUUCUCUCAGUUCGGAUUGUAGUCUGCAACUCGACUACAUGAAGCUGGAAUCGCUAGUAA
rnacentral:rRNA from 1 species